UAUGGGAAAACUUGCCACUCUAGAGGAGUAUGAGAUUCAGGUUACUUAGGGUGCUUUUUCUACUGUCCUUGUGAAAUGGACUCAGUGUUCCUAAGUAGGCUGCUUUUUCACCCUGUUUUCUACAAUCUCUGUGAAAUAGUUUGGGACGCUCUAUGAGCUAGUAACAUCGGUGGUGACUACUCAGAAUGGGAAAACCCUGGUGGUGCUACUUCCCCAUGAAGUUGUUUGGUAGUAAGUAAAAUUCAGAAGCUGGCAGAUCGAAAGUGCUAGUGAAAGUAUUGGAGGGUACAAACAACUCAGGAGGGCAGUGACUAUUGAUAGCACCCUGGGAAGAGAAACCUUCUUUGUAGCCACUUGGCAAGCUGCUAAACCACCUGAGAUCAAUCUGGUUGAUCCCAAUCGGAAAAGCUACACCAGCAAGGACUUUGUCUCUGAUUUGGUUUUCCAUGUAGCACGUCUCCAGAUUCCAGGAAUUGCAGAGACAGGGGAGUGGACAUACACACUGACAAAUGUUCACCUGGCUCCUCAAGUUCUAACAAUGACAGUAACUUCUCGAGCAGCAAACUCUACUAUACCUCCUGUGGCUGUAAAAACCCAUAUGAGUAAAGAUAUAAAUUACUAUCCCAGUGCAAUGGUUGUCCAUGUACAGGUGAGUCACGGCUUUUCCCCUGUUCUUGGAGCAAGCGUGACUGCUGUCAUCAGUCCAGAGAAUGGAGAUCCCAUUUCCUUGGAACUUCUGGACAACGGAGCAGGUAAACUCAAGAUGAACCCAUCAAGAUCCCCAGCUAUUAAAAGUGAUAUUCAAGUCAGAAGAGGAGGUUUCCAUAGAACAGCUGUGGGAGAAUCCUUCAUAAUAUCUGCAGUUCCAAUGGGACCUCAUGCUGAUGUGUUUCCACCGUGUAAAAUUAUUGACCUUGUGGCCAGAAUAUAAGAUGAUAAGGUCAUUCUAUCAUGGACCGCACCAGGAAAUGAUUUUGACAAAAGCCGAGCUGCAAGUUAUGAAAUCAGGAUAAGUGAGAGUCCUCUGGAACUAAGGGGCAGCUUCUAUAAAACUGGUUUAGUGAAUACUUCCACUUUAUCACCUCAGCAUGCUGGCUGCAAAGAAAUAUUUGCAUUUAAACCAGAAGCUUUUACAACAGGAAACAUAACCAUAAUUUAUGUUGCAAUGUGUGCCGUUGAUGAUGUUUUUCUUCACUCUGAGCUGUCUAAUAUUGCACAAGCUGUAAAGUUUGUUCCCCCAAUGGUGUAUCCCACUGCUAAUAUGGAGUUUCAACAAUAUUGUUACUAGUCUUUGGAUUACUAACAGUAGUAUGUAUUACAGUAAGCACAACCAUUUGUUUAGUAAAGAAGAAGAAAAAGACACUUCCAGAAAAUGCAGCUAAGUUGCUUUAACAUAAAGUGUCAGAGCUUGUUAGAGCUCCGGAUACUUGAUAAUAUUUAACUGCUUUGACUUACAAAAGUAGAUAUCCUACAAUAAACAGAAUAAAUAAGUAAUCACAUUCCAGAUAUUGAAGUGAUUUAUUAGCCAUAUCAUAGUGUCUAUGAAUUUGAUAACAGAAGGCUUGGUUGCUGUAAAACAAGUCAUAUGCUGUACCAUCUUGCACCAUAGAGAUGCAAUAUCUGUCUAGGAACUUACAUGGGUGCUGUGCGAUGUCAUAGUGUAUUCUUAUUGUGUGGUGAAAAAGUUGUAAUUAAAUUGACAGAGAUACCGAA